rnacentral:rRNA from 1 species
UACGUAGGGUGCAAGCGUUAUCCGGAAUUAUUGGGCGUAAAGAGCGCGCAGGCGGUCGUUCAAGUCGCGUGUGAAAGCCCCCGGCUCAACUGGGGAGGGUCACGCGAUACUGAUCGACUCGAAGGCAGGAGAGGGAAGUGGAAUUCCCGGUGUAGUGGUGAAAUGCGUAGAUAUCGGGAGGAACACCAGUGGCGAAGGCGACUUCCUGGCCUGUUCUUGACGCUGAGGCGCGAAAGCUAGGGGAGCAAACGGGG